rfam:Myotis lucifugus cont2.1427, whole genome shotgun sequence.
UGUGCACCAAGGGGGUCCCUCAGCCUGGCCUGUGCCCUCUUGCAAUCUGGGACCACUUGGCAGGUGUCGGAGAGCCGGUUUCUGCCCAAUCCCACAGGCCAGGCUGAGGGACCCCACUGGUGCAUG